UACGUAGGGUGCGAGCGUUAAUCGGAAUUACUGGGCGUAAAGAGUGCGUAGGCGGUUCUCCAAGUCCGUUGUGAAAGCCCCGGGCUCAACCUGGGAAUGGCAGUGGAAACUAGAGAACUUGAAUCUGGCAGAGGGGGGUGGAAUGCCGCGUGUAGCAGUGAAAUGCGUAGAGAUGCGGCGGAACACCGAUGGCGAAGGCAGCCCCCUGGGCUGAGAUUGACGCUCAGGCACGAAAGCGUGGGGAGCAAACAGG
rnacentral:rRNA from 1 species